CCUACGGGAGACAGCAGUAGGGAAUCUUUCACAAUGGGCGAAAGCCUGAUGGAGCAACGCCGCGUGCAGGAUGAAGGCCUUCGGGUUGUAAACUGCUUUUAUAAGCGAGAAAUAUGAUGGUAACUUAUGAAUGAGGAUCGGCUAACUACGUGCCAGCAGCCGCGGUCAUACGUAGGAUCCGAGCAUUAUCCGGAGUGACUGGGUGUAAAGAGUUGCGUAGGUGGCAUAAUAAGUAGCUAGUGAAAUCUGGUGGCUCAACCAUUCAGACUAUUAGCUAAACUGUUAAGCUCGAGACCGUUAGGGGUAACUGGAAUUUCUAGUGUAGGAGUGAAAUCCGUAGAUAUUAGAAGGAACACCAAUAGCGUAGGCAGGUUGCUGGGACGGUUCUGACACUAAGGCACGAAAGCGUAGGGAGCAAACGGGAUUAGAUACCCUUGUAGUC
rnacentral:rRNA from 1 species